UACAGAGGAUGCAAGCGUUAUCCGGAAUGAUUGGGCGUAAAGCGUCUGUAGGUGGCUUUUUAAGUCCGCCGUCAAAUCCCAGGGCUCAACUCUGGACAGGCGGUGGAAACUACCAAGCUGGAGUACGGUAGGGGCAGAGGGAAUUUCCGGUGGAGCGGUGAAAUGCGUAGAGAUCGGGAGGAACACCUGUGGCGAAGGCGGCCCCCUGGUUGGAUACUGACGCUGAUACGCGAAAGCGUGGGGAGCAAACAGG
rnacentral:rRNA from 1 species